rnacentral:rRNA from 1 species
UCCACAGUUAAGCGUGCUUGAGCCAGAGGCGUCUUGGGAUGGGUGACCACCUGGGAAGUCCCGGUUACCGAGUUCA